GGGAAUAUUGGUCAAUGGACGAAAGUCUGAACCAGCCAUGCCGCGUGCAGGAAGACGGCCUUCUGGGUUGUAAACUGCUUUUAUCAGGGAAGAACGGGUUUCUUGCGAGAGGCCGUGCCGGUACCUGAUGAAUAAGCACCGGCUAACUCCGUGCCAGCCGCCGCGGUAAUACGGAGGGUGCGAGCGUUGUCCGGACUUAUUGGGUUUAAAGGGUGCGUAGGCGGCCUGCUAAGUCAGUGGUGAAAGGUAUCAGCUCAACUGAUGACGUGCCAUUGAAACUGGCGGGCUUGAGUACAGACGAGGUAGGCGGAAUUUAUGGUGUAGCGGUGAAAUGCAUAGAUACCAUAAAGAACACCGAUAGCGAAGGCAGCUUACUAGGCUGAGACUGACGCUGAUGCACGAAAGCGUGGGGAGCGAAC
rnacentral:rRNA from 1 species